rnacentral:lncRNA from 1 species
GCUCAUGAAUAUAAGACGCAGGCGCGCCCUCUGAUUGGCCCAGGAUGUGUAGGGGGCGGGGCCCGGCGGAGCCGUAUAUAAGGCCGGGCUCGGGGACGCCCCCCCUCACUCGCGCGUUAGGAGGCUCGGGUCGUUGUGGUGCGCCGUGUUCCCGCUUGCGUCAGGGACCUGCCCGACUCAGUGGAAGCGGGGAGAGGUGGUGAGAGAUGACCCCUGUUGAGGAUUUCAUUGGUGUCUGCCACAGGCCGCCAUGGCAUCAGAUGAAGGCAAACUUUUUGUUGGAGGGCUGAGUUUUGACACCAAUGAGCAGUCGCUGGAGCAGGUCUUCUCAAAGUACGGACAGAUCUCUGAAGGUGAGGCUGCUGCUGGGCCCGCGGCCCUGGGCGGGGGC